rnacentral:rRNA from 1 species
AUACGUAGGUGGCAAGCGUUAUCCGGAAUUACUGGGUGUAAAGGGCGCGCAGGCGGCCCUGCAAGUCGGAUGUGAAAGAUCAAGGCUCAACCUUGACAGGCCAUUCGAAACUGUGGGACUUGAGUGUCAGAGGGGAAAGUGGAAUUCCUAGUGGAGCGGUAAAAUGCGCAGAUAUUAGGAGGAACACCGGUGGCGAAGGCGACUUUCUGGCUGACAACUGACGCUGAGGCGCGAAAGCGUGGGGAGCAAACAGGAUUAGAUACCCUGGUAGUCCACGCCGUAAACGAUGAUUACUAGGUGUAGGGGGUAUCGACUCCCUCUGUGCCACAGUUAACGCAUUAAGUAAUCCACCUGGGGAGUACGGCCGCAAGGUUAAAACUCAAAUGAAUUGACGGGG